UACGUAGGGGGCAAGCGUUGUCCGGAAUCAUUGGGCGUAAAGAGCGUGUAGGCGGCCCGAUAAGUCCGCUGUGAAAGUCCAGGGCUCAACCCUGGAAUGCCGGUGGAUACUGUCGGGCUCGAAUCCGGAAGAGGUGAGUGGAAUUCCUGGUGUAGCGGUGAAAUGCGCAGAUAUCAGAAGGAACACCAAUGGCGAAGGCAGCUCACUGGGACGGUAUUGACGCUGAGACGCGAAAGCGUGGGGAGCAAACAGG
rnacentral:rRNA from 1 species